rnacentral:rRNA from 1 species
CAGCCACACUGGAACUGAGACACGGUCCAGACUCCUACGGGAGGCAGCAGUGGGGAAUAUUGCACAAUGGGCGCAAGCCUGAUGCAGCCAUGCCGCGUGUAUGAAGAAGGCCUUCGGGUUGUAAAGUACUUUCAGCGGGGAGGAAGGCGAUAAGGUUAAUAACCUUGUCGAUUGACGUUACCCGCAGAAGAAGCACCGGCUAACUCCGUGCCAGCAGCCGCGGUAAUACGGAGGGUGCAAGCGUUAAUCGGAAUUACUGGGCGUAAAGCGCACGCAGGCGGUCUGUCAAGUC